rnacentral:lncRNA from 1 species
CUUCCUCCGCACGCCUCAACCCUCCUUCAUCUUUGUGCGAAGUCUCUCUCCCCUUCUCGGCAGCCUCACCGAACCAGCAGCUCUUCUUUUUCUUUCAAUUUCUUUUCCUUCGUCUCUGCCAUCCACCGAAGACCCACAUCUCCACUAAACCUUGUCUUCUUUGGUCAACACUCACCUCACCGAAGUUUCAUUUGUUGACCGCCCUCGC